CCUACGGGUGGCAGCAGUGAGGAAUAUUGGUCAAUGGGCGGGAGCCUGAACCAGCCAAGCCGCGUGAGGGAAGAAGGUACAGCGUAUCGUAACCCUCUUUUGUCAGGGCACAAAGGCGGGGACUAGUCCCCGGAUGAGGGUACCUGACGAAAAAGCAUCGGCUAACACCGUGCCAGCAGCGGCGGUAAUAGGGGGGAUGCGAGGGUUAUCCGGAUUGAUGGGGUUAAAAGGGUGCGCAGGCGGCCUGUUAAGUCAGCGGUAAAAGCCCGGGGCUAAACCCCGGCGAGCCGUUGAAACUGGGGGGCUGGAGUUGGAGAGAGGUACGCGGAAUGCGCGGUGUAGCGGUGAAAUGCGUAGAUAUCGGGCAGAACCCCGAUUGCGAAGGCAGCGUACCGGCUCCACACUGACGCUGAGGCACGAAAGCGUGGGUAUCGAACAGGAUUAGAUACCCUGGUAGUC
rnacentral:rRNA from 1 species